UGAAAGAAGCUUUCAUGGAAGCUGCAGAUGUGCUCUUUGCCGAUUUUAAAAAUCAGAAGGAGAUCGUGUCUGCAGGAUGUGCAGCUCUCAAAGUCUGUUGCACGACGAUGCGAGUUAAUGGCGGAGGAUAUUGAUCGGCAACUGAGGAAUGAUAUUGAGAUUGUACGCAGCAACGACUUGACAGACUGGAGUCAAAGGUGGACCACAUACUACAACUACUGGUGAGGAAUCAGGCUGCUGAAGAAGCUGACUGCAUUGGAGAUAAUGCCAGCCAGACUUAAAACAACGGAGGAGCUGGACCAAUUCAGCAAAAUGCUGGAGGACCAGGAGUUUAGGAGGACAGUGGUGAAUCUGCUGAAACAGCUAUCUGGAUCAAUGCUGAACUCCUUUGCCAGGACGAUGCUCGGUGAAAUUGGGAUGUGGCGGUUGUGGGCUGGCGUCAGCCUCAAAGGAUGGAAAGGGAAGAAAGCCCUGCAGCCUCUCACUCUCUAGAGUUUUGAAGAGCAAAGAAGGAGGAUGAAAGAAUUGGUACUGGUGUUAAUGCUGACUCAGAUGCUGGGGUGGAUGAAGCCAUGGGCGACGAUGUGGAUGCCGAUGCCAUGGACCAUUGUGUAGUGAAUGAUGACACCAUGGAUGGCAGUGCCAUGAGUGAUGAUGCCACAAUUAGUCAUGGGUCAGAUGAGAAGUGAUUCAUUUUAUGCUGAGAACUUAUGCCUCCCCCUCUGUAAGGUGCGGGGGAGACAUGAAAUAAGUGCCCAAUUUUCCUUGCACAACUUUUUUCCUGGAUGCCAUGAUCAUCAACUCGACUGGACUGACGCUAUGUUUGUUUUGAUCCACCUUUGUGAUUCACCC